rnacentral:snoRNA from 1 species
UCACUGUGAUGAUGGCAUUCCAAACAUUCGCAGUUUCCACCAGAAAGGUUUUUACCUUAGUGUUGGCCAGUCCUUCCUUGGAUGUCUGAGUGA